AGGCAUCGCGACCCCA
rnacentral:rRNA from 1 species